UAAAGUGGCGAACGGCUGAGUAACACGUGGGCAACCUGCCCUUUGCACUGGGAUAGCCUCGGGAAACCGAGGUUAAUACCGGAUACUCCAUAUCCACCGCAUGAUAGAUAUGGGAAAGCUCCGGCGGCAAAGGAUGGGCCCGCGGCCUGUUAGCUAGUUGGUGGGGUAGUGGCCUACCAAGGCAAUGAUGGGUAGCCGGGUUGAGAGACCGACCGGCCAGAUUGGGACUGAGACACGGCCCAGACUCCUACGGGAGGCAGCAGCC
rnacentral:rRNA from 1 species